UACGGAGGGUGCGAGCGUUGUCCGGAAUCAUUGGGCGUAAAGGGCGCGUAGGUGGCCCGGUCAGUUCGUGGUGAAAGCGCGGGGCUCAACCCUGCGUCGGCCAUGAAUACUGCCGCGGCUGGAGCACUGUAGAGGCAGGCGGAAUUCCGGGUGUAGCGGUGGAAUGCGUAGAGAUCCGGAAGAACACCGGUGGCGAAGGCGGCCUGCUGGGCAGUUGCUGGACACUGAGGCGCGACAGCGUGGGGAGCAACA
rnacentral:rRNA from 1 species